AACGAACGCUAUCGGUAUGCUUAACACAUGCAAGUCGGACGGACUAAUUAGGGCUUGCUCCAAUUAGUUAGUGGCAGACGGGUGAGUAACACGUGGGAAUCUGCCCAUCAGUACGGAAUAACUUUUAGAAAUAAAAGCUAAUACCGUAUAUUCUCUACAGAGGAAAGAUUUAUCGCUGAUGGAUGAGCCCGCGUCAGAUUAGGUAGUUGGUGAGGUAACGGCUCACCAAGCCGACGAUCUGUAGCUGGUCUGAGAGGAUGAUCAGCCACACUGGGACUGAGACACGGCCCAGACUCCUACGGGAGGCAGCAGUGGGGAAUAUUGGACAAUGGGCGAAAGCCUGAUCCAGCAAUACCGAGUGAGUGAUAAAGGCCCUAGGGUUGUAAAGCUCUUUUAGCAAGGAAGAUAAUGACGUUACUUGCAGAAAAAGCCCCGGCUAACUCUGUG
rnacentral:rRNA from 1 species